UACGAAGGGGGCGAGCGUUGUUCGGAAUUACUGGGCGUAAAGGGCGCGCAGGCGGCCCUUGAAGUCAGGCGUGAAAGCCCCGGGCUCAACCUGGGAGGUGCGCUUGAUACUCGAGGGCUUGAGUGCGGGAGAGGAGAGUGGAAUUCCCAGUGUAGAGGUGAAAUUCGUAGAUAUUGGGAAGAACACCGGUGGCGAAGGCGGCUCUCUGGACCGUAACUGACGCUGAGGUGCGAAAGCGUGGGGAGCAAACAGG
rnacentral:rRNA from 1 species